rnacentral:rRNA from 1 species
GAUGAACGCUAGCGGCAGGCUUAAUACAUGCAAGUCGUGGGGCAGCAUGAGUAGCAAUACUUGAUGGCGACCGGCAAACGGGUGCGGAACACGUACACAACCUUCCGAUAAGUGGGGAAUAGCCCAGAGAAAUUUGGAUUAAUACCCCCGUAACAUAUAGAGUAGGCAUCUUCUUUAUAUUAUAGCUUCGGCGCUUAUUGAUGGGUGUGCGUCUGAUUAGGUAGUGGGCGGGGUAACGGCCCACCAAGCCUACGAUCAGUAGCUGAUGUGAGAGCAUGCUCAGCCACACGGGCACUGGGACACGGGCCCGACUCCUACGGGAGGCAGCAGUAAGGAAUAUUGGACAAUGGGCGAAAGCCUGAUCCAGCCAUGCCGCGUGAAGGAUUAAGGUCCUCUGGAUUGUAAACUUCUUUUAUUUGGGACGAAAAAAGGGAAUUCUUUCCACUUGACGGUACCAAGUGAAUAAGCACCGGCUAACUCCGUGCCAGCCGCCGCCGUAA